rnacentral:rRNA from 1 species
AUUGAACGCUGGCGGCAGGCCUAACACAUGCAAGUCGAGCGGAAACGAUGGUAGCUUGCUACCAGGCGUCGAGCGGCGGACGGGUGAGUAACGCGUGAGAAUCUGCCCAUUUGUGGGGGAUAACUCGGGGAAACUCGAGCUAAUACCGCAUAAUCCCUACGGGGGAAAGCAGGGGACCUUCGGGCCUUGUGCAGAUGGAUGAGCUCGCGUCGGAUUAGCUUGUUGGUGAGGUAAAGGCUCACCAAGGCGACGAUCCGUAGCUGGUCUGAGAGGAUGAUCAGCCACACCGGGACUGAGACACGGCCCGGACUCCUACGGGAGGCAGCAGUGGGGAAUCUUGGACAAUGGGGGCAACCCUGAUCCAGCCAUGCCGCGUGUGUGAAGAAGGCCUUCGGGUUGUAAAGCACUUUCAGUAGGGAGGAAGGCUUACCGCUAAUAACGGUGAGUACUUGACGUUACCUACAGAAGAAGCACCGGCUAAUUUCGUGC